rnacentral:hammerhead_ribozyme from 1 species
AUCCAUCUGACGAGUCUCAAAUAGAACGAAACACGCGUCCUGGAU